UCUAACUCCUGUUAUGACUCAAAAUAUCCUUUUGGCCAUUAGAUCUACCCCACACGCAUCCUCAACUAUCCAAUCACGUCCGCAACUCUUCCUAGCCAUUCGAUCGUGCAAAAUAGCCCAUGAUCGCAUGUAGACCACGUAAAAUCACCUUUGGACCGUAGCGAUCCACACAUCACACAUGGACUUAUGACUCAAAAUAUCUUUUUGGCCAUUAGAUCAACCCUGCACACAUCUUGAACCAUCUGAUCGUGUCCUCAACUAUUCCUAGCUGCUCGAUCAUGCAAAACAGCCCAUGAUUGCAUGUAGACCGUGUGAAAUCACCCCUGAACUGUGGCGGCCCAUGCAUCACAUGUGGACUAUGACUCCUGCAUGAUGGAUCGUGCUAGGCCGCAUGGAAUGCUGGGCGGUGUGUGUGGCCCAGCGCGCUUGUGGGCCUGGGCGCCUAUAGGCCGAGCCUGUGGGCCAUGUCUAUAGGUCUGCAUGCCUUCGUAUGUGGGC
rnacentral:lncRNA from 1 species